rnacentral:lncRNA from 1 species
AUCUAUUGGCCUUAGCCCAAGCAUCUGCCCCCCAACAAAAGAAGUCUUUACCCAAGAUAAUCAUGAAAAGUGACUUGUAGUUCUGAAAGAUUCUUGCAUUCUUAUCCAGCCGACUCACCAACAAUCUGGAAACGAUUGCCCCAACCCACAGAGAGCUGAACUUUCUCUUUCACUGCCAGACCUAUCAGAACUGAAGGCAGGAAGGACUAAAUAAAUAAUCAGAGGGAUAACCCGAGAAAAGGCAGAAAUCUUGAAAACGCGAUUCCAAACUGUCUAAAGGCAUAGAACGAUGCAGGAAGAGGUGGUUGUGAGUCUUGCCAGUUCUGUAGCACUAAACGAACCCCCGCAAGCCACGAUUCGGUUUGAAUUGUGCAAUAUUUGUUUUAUCUUAGAUGUGUUUUUGCAAUAUAAGAUUUUUCUAAAGAAUACGCGGGAGAAUAGAUGAAGGAUGGCGAACGCAUUUUUCUCGGGCUUGUUGGGUCUAAAGCUAUAUGAAGGUUCAAAUUUUGUCUGCUUGGUUGACGUGGAUGCAAAGAGGAGGGCUUCAAUUUUUCUCUUAUCUCAAAAAAAAGAAGGGGUGGGCUUCAGUAUUUUUCCUAUUAAGGCUAGGGGAUGUUGGAGGUACAAUUCUAAAGAAAUUCUUGAGUAAUGUAAUUUGAAUUUCUUUGAUUUGUAACCGGUGUUCAGUUUGCCGCAUUUCAAUCCUUUAGAAAAUUAGUCUGAUGGAACGAUAGGAUCCUUUUCUCACUGAAACUCUACAUGAGGGAGUAUGUGCUACAUGUGUUACCGGAGAUUGGUGAACUGAUCAAUGUCCUCUCUUUGAUUCAUUUGUUUGAGAAGCAAUAUUUUGUUAUCAUUUUGAUGGUUAUUUUUAUUAUUGUAGCUAUUGUUUGUUGCAAUCGACUUUAUACAACGUGUUGAUGGUCAAAAUGAUAAUCAAAAUGGUAAUGAAGUACAAAAGUUUACAAGGUUGGUAUCAGUUGUAGUAGAAAAAUCCUUGGUUGAGGGGAUAACUAGAGGUUUUUGGUCUUCUCCAGAUUUGCAAGUAUAGACAAGAAUGUAUAACUGGAGCAUGGAUGGAUUAUGUGCUGGGUAUUCAUUGGCAUCACUUCUAAGUUGGUUAUUUUUUAGCUUAUGGUAUUUAUAACUUUUAACAUGCCUUUGCUAGCCUUUGUUACGUUAGCUUGUCUUCACGAGCC